AUUGAACGCUGGCGGCAUGCCUUACACAUGCAAGUCGAACGGUAACGGGCCUGCGGGUGCCGACGAGUGGCGAACGGGUGAGUAAUGCAUCGGAACGUACCUUUCAGUGGGGGAUAACGUAGCGAAAGUUACGCUAAUACCGCAUAUUCUGUGAGCAGGAAAGCAGGGGAUCGCAAGACCUUGCGCUGAUUGAGCGGCCGAGGUCAGAUUAGCUAGUUGGUGAGGUAAAGGCUCACCAAGGCGACGAACUGUAGCGGGUCUGAGAGGAUGAUCCGCAACCCGGGGACUGAGACACGGCCCAGACUCCUACGGGAGGCAGCAGUGGGGAAUUUUGGACAAUGGGGGCAACCCUGAUCCAGCCAUGCCGCGUGAGUGAAGAAGGCCUUCGGGUUGUAAAGCUCUUUCGGCCGGGAAGAAAUCGCACAGGCUAAUACCUUGCGUGGAUGACGGUACCGGAAUAAGAAGCACCGUCUAACUACGUGCCAGCCGCCGCAGUAAAAC
rnacentral:rRNA from 1 species